rnacentral:lncRNA from 1 species
AUAAAAAUAACAAGAGUGCACACACUGAAAUGUCUCGCCUUCUAUACUAAUCAUUGAUAUUAUGUUGAUAGUCCUAAGUAUAAAACUAAGCUUUAUUACAACUGUCACAUAAACUUAACAUUAACCAAGAUAACUAAACAAAGACCAAUGAACCUUGAAAAUGAGGUCAAGGUCAGAUGAACCAAGCCAGGCAGACAUGUAC